UUUCGGUGUAGGAUGAGACUAUAUAGUAUCAGCUAGUUGGUAAGGUAAUGGCUUACCAAGGCUAUGACGCUUAACUGGUCUGAGAGGAUGAUCAGUCACACUGGAACUGAGACACGGUCCAGACUCCUACGGGAGGCAGCAGUAGGGAAUAUUGCGCAAUGGGGGAAACCCUGACGCAGCAACGCCGCGUGGAGGAUGACACUUUUCGGAGCGUAAACUCCUUUUCUUAGGGAAGAAUUCUGACGGUACCUAAGGAAUAAGCACCGGCUAACUCCGUGCCAGCAGCCGCGGUAAUACGGAGGGUGCAAGCGUUACUCGGAAUCACUGGGCGUAAAGGGCGCGUAGGCGGAUUAUCAAGUCUCUUGUGAAAUCUAAUGGCUUAACCAUUAAACUGCUUGGGAAACUGAUAGUCUAGAGUGAGGGAGAGGCAGAUGGAAUUGGUGGUGUAGGGGUAAAAUCCGUAGAUAUCACCAAGAAUACCCAUUGCGAAGGCGAUCUGCUGGAACUCAACUGACGCUAAGGCGCGAAAGCGUGGGGAGCAAACAGGAUUAGAUACCCUGGUAGUCCACGCCCUAAACGAUGUACACUAGUUGUUGGGAUGCUAGUCAUCUCAGUAAUGCAGCUAACGCAUUAAGUGUACCGCCUGGGGAGUACGGUCGCAAGAUUAAAACUCAAAGGAAUAGACGGGGACCCGCACAAGCGGUGGAGCAUGUGGUUUAAUUCGAAGAUACGCGAAGAACCUUACCUGGGCUUGAUAUCCUAAGAACCUUAUAGAGAUAUGAGGGUGCUAGCUUGCUAGAACUUAGAGACAGGUGCUGCACGGCUGUCGUCAGCUCGUGUCGUGAGAUGUUGGGUUAAGUCCCGCAACGAGCGCAACCCACGUAUUUAGUUGCUAACGGUUCGGCCGAGCACUCUAAAUAGACUGCCUUCGUAAGGAGGAGGAAGGUGUGGACGACGUCAAGUCAUCAUGGCCCUUAUGCCCAGGGCGACACACGUGCUACAAUGGCAUAUACAAUGAGACGCAAUACUGCGAGGUGGAGCAAAUCUAUAAAAUAUGUCCCAGUUCGGAUUGUUCUCUGCAACUCGAGAGCAUGAAGCCGGAAUCGCUAGUAAUCGUAGAUCAGCCAUGCUACGGUGAAUACGUUCCCGGGUCUUGUACUCACCGCCCGUCACACCAUGGGAGUUGAUUUCACUCGAAGCCGGAAUACUAAACUAGUUACCGUCCACAGUGGAAUCAGCGACUGGGGUGAAGUCGUAACAAGGUAACCGUAGGAGAACCUGCGGUUGGAUCACCUCCUUU
rnacentral:rRNA from 1 species